CCUAUAUUCAGUCAUUGGAUUUGAGUGAAUUAAUCGAAUAUUUUUAAAACUUUAUUACAUUUACACCCAAAUUCCCUCUCCAGCCUCUUCUCUGGUUCGUCAGCAAUGGGAUUGAAGAGGGGGGUUCUUGAAGAUCUCAGGAGCUCUCAUUGAAGAGAUUGGGUGCCAUUCUAAAGCAGUCAGCUAACCACAAUUGGAUACCUGAUCCAGCCAGUUGUAAGUUAGGGAGAAUCUAUGAAGAAGUUUCAGCAGCAAUGACACAGGACACAACUACUCUGGAUGAGGUGAUGGGGAUAAUGUCAGAAUGCAAAGAGCUAUGGCAAUCAUUGGCACCACCUGCUCUUGAGGACAUUUGUGGAAGGGAAAAAUGGUGGGAAUCUCUAGAAUAAGGCAAACUGUAUUCAAGUAAAAAUACUGAUAAAAUUUUCAAUUAGCCCUAGAUGUAGAAGAAGCCACUACACAUCUGCUUCAAUUAUUUGUGCUUUGUGACUCCGAAACUUGUGUGGCACCACAACUGAUUGAGAUUACAAAAGUCCAAAGGAAUAGUGUUGCACAAGUUGUAUUGGUGAAUAGAGUGCUAAGAGUUAUUUUGUAGAGACAUUAGUUAUUAUUUAUAUGCUUUAUGGGUUUUUGUCUUAUGCUUUAAAUAUUACCUUCUUCCUUGUGGGUUGUUGGGAGACGAGAAAUGUUAGAAAUUAUGAAAUUUUUUUCAUGAAAGAUUUGUGACCUUUAGAUUACCUUAAUUAGUGUGUGGUGUUUUAUUUUAUAUGUAAUUCAAAGAUCACAAAUCUUUCGUGAUCAUUUUCAUGAAAGACUUUUCAUGAUUCCUAGCAUUGCUGGAGACGAGACUUAUGGUAUUGUGGAUUAAAUUAUUACCAAUUGAGGUUUUAUC